GUGGGAGCCAGGGGCAGAGGGAGAGGAAAUGGAAGGUUAGUGUUUAAGGGGAACAGAGUUUCAGUUGGGGAAGAUGAAAAAGUUCUGGGGAUGGAUGGUGAUGGUGGC